ensembl:lncRNA
AUGGAACACACAGCGAUAUUGAGCUCCCUCAGACCCCAGAGCUAUGGGGUGAGCAAGGCCACAUCCACCGGUGCUCUAUGUAAACAACAGACUGCUGGCCAAAAUUUCUGCUGCUUGGCAGAUCCCUUUAGGAGUAAGAUCCACACCACUAAAAUCUCGGCUACCGUCUGUGUUAUCAACUUGAUCAAGAACCAAGAGCUGACCCAGGCUCCGGCUCUUUGCAUCUUUCCCCAGUGGGCCAGGGCACACGGACCGAGCGAAGGGGUUACACCGCGAGCUUCCAGCUGCUUUGCACUGCCCCGGCGCCGGUGCCACCAGCCGGCCCGGCCCGGCCCAGCUCCGCCUCCUCCGUCAGCACCCGUCAGCCCCGCCGCUCCACAACAUGGCGGCCGCCCUCGCGCGGGGCAGGACGGGAGCGCGCCCCGCCCGCCGCUUCGAACACACACAGGAAGCGGCGGCGCGCGGCGCCAUAGCAACGGCCCGCUGACGUCACAGCCGGGAGAUGACGUCAUGGCGGGGGCUCCGGUGUCUGUCUGUCUGUCCCGGGAGGGCACCGGGCUGCUGAGUCUCUGAGGGUCCCCUCUUGGGUCCUUAAGGAGGUCCUUGGGUCUUUGUGGGGCUCUUUAGUGAGAGUUUCUUGGUCCCUGAAGGGGUUCUUGGGUCUCUGGGGAAGAUUCUUAGGUCCUUAAGGGGGCUUCUCAGGUCCUUGGGGUUAGGGUUGGUCCUGGCCCCUCCAGGAGGGUGUGGGAUUCCUGUGCCCCUCCCAGAGAUUGUCUGUGACUCAGUGUAGGAUGCCCCACGAUCCUGCAGAGUGUCUGUGUCUCCCCCAUUCCUGGUUUCUGAUCCCCAUUACUCUUCUCAGGGAGUUGUAGGGUGGGUAGAGGGAAGCCAGUCGUGUGUCCACACCCCUCUUGGGAGGGCACUGGGCCAGAGGCCAAGAGCUCAGCCCCACAUGGCCUGCAAGGAGCCAGGGGCAGGUGCUGCAGGAGGACCCGUGGUCCCGUGCCCUUCUCGGCGCUGGUGUGUGCAGGAACCCCCCCCCAUUUUCUGCCCACAGAGGGGCUGGUUCCAAAGGCCCAGGGUGCUCGUUGGGGGCAGAGGGGUGCCUGUCUGCAGACUGUCCAUCUGCGAUGCUCUGGUGACCCCAGACGGCCAUCUCACAGCCUGGCACAAACAUGCAUUCUGGUCCUACUGCAGCUAUGCAGCAAGCUGCAUGCAAUUCCCUGAUAAUAAUCUUGGACUCCCUGGUUAUCAGUCAUGCAGCUCAGCCUCACAUAAUAAUCCUAGGCUCCUUGUAUGUUAUUUUCAACAAGAAACAGCUGAUAACUGCAGUCCUGAGAAGGAACAGAAUAAUUCAUAGACUCCUGGAAUAUCCUGAGCUGGAGGGACCCUCAGGGAUCAUCAGUGCAGCCCCUGGCCCUGCCCAGACCCCCCAACAAGCCCACCCUGAGCAUCCCUGAGAGCGCUGUCCAAACGCUCCUGGAGCUCUGGCAGCCUUGGGGCCGGGCCCAUUCCCUGGGGAGCCUGGGCAGUGCCAGCAGCCUCGGGGGGAAGAACCUUGCCCUGAGAUCCA